rnacentral:sRNA from 1 species
AUGGCUGUCGUCAGCUCGUGUCGUGAGAUGUUCGGUUAAGUCCGAUAACGAGCGCAACCCCUAUCCUUAGUUGCCAGCACGUAAUGGUGGGGACUCUAGGGAAACUGCCCGGGAUAACCGGAAGGAAGGUGGGGUCGACGUCAAGUCAGUAUGUCCCUUACGUCCAGGGCUACACACGUAAUACAAUGGAGAGUACAGAGGGUAGCAAAGCUGCGAGGUGGAGCCAAUCCCAAAAAACUUUCCUAAGUUCAGAUUGCAGUCUGCAACUCGACUGCAUGAAGCAGGAAUCGCUAGUAAUCGCGCAUCAGCAUGGCGCGGUGAAUACGUUCCCGGGUCUUGUACACACCGCCCGUCACGCCAUGGAAGUCGGUAGCACCCAACAACAGUGUCCUAACCUUCGGGAAGGAGCUGUUUAAGGUGAGAUUGGUAACUGGGGCGAAGUCGUAACAAGGUAGCCGUACCGGAAGGUGUGGCUGGAUUACCUCCUUUCUAGGGAGUAAUUUUCGACAAAUAUCGAAAAUACGGUCGAAACUUAAAGUAUUAUUCUUACGCACAUUUCUCUUUUUUUUAUCCUGGGUUUGUAGCUCAGUUGGUUAGAGCACCGCUCUGAUAAGGCGGGGGUCGGUAGUUCGAGUCUACCCAGACCCACUUAUUGUUCCACAGGGAACUGCCUAUUUUGGGGCUGUAGCUCAGCUGGGAGAGCAUCGCGUUUGCAACGCGAGGGUCGCAGGUUCGAACCCUGUCAGCUCCACAGAAUUUUUCUUUACUUAUUAAUACGAGUAAAGGACAUAAUAUGAGUCAUUUUAUUAUGACUUUAGAGAAGACCUUUUUUUUAAGGUUGUUUUUUGAAAUUGUGAGUUUAUAUGUAAAUAUCUAGAAAUGUCUAUCUGGAAAAAGUAAAAGGCUUUAAUCAAGUUAAUAAGGGCAUUUGGUGGAUGCCUUGGCAUAUGAAGGCGAUGAAGGACGUGGUAAGCUGCGAUAAGCCUCGGGUAGGUGCAAACAACCAUCAAUCCGGGGAUUUCCGAAUGGGGAAACCCGG